rnacentral:rRNA from 1 species
UACAGAGGGUGCAAGCGUUAAUCGGAAUUACUGGGCGUAAAGCGUGCGUAGACGGUUAUUUAAGUCGGGUGUGAAAGCCCCGGGCUCAACCUGGGAAUUGCAUUCGAGACUGAAUAGCUAGGGUGCGGAAGAGGGAAGCGGAAUUUCCGGUGUAGCGGUGAAAUGCGUAGAUAUCGGAAGGAACACCAGUGGCGAAAAGCGGCUUCCUGGUCCAGCACCGACGUUCAGGCACGAAAGCGUGGGGAGCAAACAGG